GUGAAAAGAGGGUAUUUUUUUGUGAGACUUGGCAAAUUUAGAAGUGGAGUUGGAGUUGUAGUGGAGAAAGGAGUGGGAGAGAGUAGUAGUUUGGAUGCAUGAAGAGCUGCAAGUUGCUCUAUGUGCCAAUAGAGUUGGUGGUAGUAUGAGAAUUGUGAAAGGGAGAGGUGGACAAAAUGGGACUUCCAUCAUUGAUGGGGAUGGUGAGGGGAAGAAGAUUAACAUUAGAAGUAAAGGUGUAGUUUUUCUGUUUCUAAGAUCUGGCAAUGGUCCAAGUAGAGUAAAUUCACAAGUUCUGCAGAAACCCAUAUGGGUGGUACUGGUACAUCUUCUCUUAUUGUGGGUUUGCCAUGGUCUGAUAGAUUAUAGGGUUCAUCAUGAAGGGACUGCUUUGAGGUUUUCAUAUGCCUAAACCCGCAAUAUUCUAUGCCAAUCACAAUACAUGCCCUUUUGGAACUCUGGAGUAAUAUUGCUUCUCAACUUUCUUCAGGUAGAAGUUUUAUUACGUGUGUGCAUAAGUCUGCUUGAUUCGCCCUUGACAACAACCUUUUCUACUGUUAUUAUAUUGCACUAGAUCUUAAGGACAACCAAGCAGCUUCAAGGUUAUGAUAUCAAGGAAUUGCUACAAGCAACCUGAUAGGGAUUUUCAUUGCUUCUGGAGCUUGUGCAGGCUACCUUCUAGGUUUAUUAACCAUGGAACCAUACAGGCUGCCUUUAUUACUUCUUUCAUAAUCUCUCAUUUCAUAAUUGGUGGAUUUUCAUGUGUUGUGAUGAACAACCAAACGAUGAUGGAGUUUUUUGUGUCUCAUCAAGUACAGAAUUCAGUUCCCUUCUUCAGGUAACCCCUCUGUUCAGAAUUCAGAUCAUUGGCAACUGGAAUCCCCAGCCCAAAAUUUUCAGAAAGUGUAAGUUUUCCUAAAACUAUGAUUCUAACAAUACAAAGAAAUCGGUAGUAUGGCAUUUCAUAGCAGCAUUAGAAAAGAAGUCUCAAUAGUUCUUUUAAUAAUAGUAGUAAAACUUGCAAGGUUGUCAAUGUUUGCGCUGGCUGCAGCAAAAUUGACAGUAGUAGUAAUGGUCCUGGACUUAUUGAGCAGUGUAGAAGUAGAAGUAGAAGAGGAGGCUAGACAAAGAUCAGAGUCUAUAGAUUAUCAUCAGCUGCAGUUUAUAGUCACUAUAUUGCCAUUAUAAAUGGUUAGUAAGGAUUCAAGACUAAUUGUAAGCAAAAGAGUUCAAGUGCAUCUGUUGUUAAGGAAAGGGAACUAAAGUAGUUAAGAGGUAGGCCUAAAAUAACACUAGUAGCCAUAAUAAGGGGUUGGAGGUUGGCUGAGUGAGGUCAUGGGUUCAAGACCUAUCGGGUGGGUGGGUGUAGUUUAUCAAUUAAAAAAGAAAAGAAAAAACGAACACUACUAGAGGUAGUAUAAAAGAACAUAUUAAUAAAGGAGGUGACAGAGUUUAUUUUAUGUAGGAUAGAAUAGCGGAAAAAGAAUGCAAGUGAAUAACUCUAAUUAGUCUAUUAAGAAUCUAUAGCCGAUCUCAUAGUUUUGGAUGAGGGCUUUGUUGUUGUUGUUGUUGUUUUGUCAAGGGAAUGGUGGUUGUGGUAUUUCAUGGAAUUAGAGACGUUGGUGAUGGUUAUUAUUUCUGAUUGCAAAAUAUCAAGCACAAGUAGAACUUUUGAGUCUACUGAUGAUAAAGCCAUUGCUUAACUUUAAAUCUAGUAUUAGUUGUAGUACUGUAGUAGUAGUUAUUAAAGAAUGAAAUUUAUAAUAGUUUGUGGUGGAAAAGGACUAAUGUGUCUCAUGUUCAUGGACAUCUACUGAUAGUGAAACCAGUAAUACUGGUCUAGCAGCAGCAGUUAUUACCAUUUUAGUACUACUAUUCUUAACGGAAAGAACAUUGUGGGGAAGGGGGAUGAAUUAUUAAUCAUGUGAUCAGUUUUUAUUUCUAAAAAUGCAAGCUUGUUACUUAUUUACCAUAGUGACUUGGAUGACGUAAACUAAAGUAGUUGCCAACUUUCUUUCCUUAGCAAGCACUCUUGACAAAUUAUAACCUCAGUGCAAAUUCUGUCAAAAGAAUUUUAUCAUAGAGCUGGGGUUCGAGGGAUACUCCAGUAGUUCCAGCACCUCUUGUAGUGCCUUGGAAUUGGGGUUUGAACCCCACCAGCCCCCUCCCCCUAUUUUACCUACAUUUAUAUAUAUAUAUAUAUAUAUAUAUAAAAGGAAGGUUGAUCAGAGAUCUGCUGCAUAACCAAGAUGCAUAUUACGUUAUUGAAUCCAAAAUAUUUAAUACAAGAUUUAUGUAAACUUAGCCAAUGGAGAUGCAUGGAUGAGUGUGAGCCCAACAGAGAGUAGAAAAAAAGAAAAAAAAAUAUCAUUGAGGUUGCUUGUUUUUACACAGGACUACAAAAGUACAAAUUCUGUUGACACAUCAUAAAUAAGAACUCCAGAUUCUUAACCUUGACCAAAGUUUUAAGUGCUGAAUUAUGCUUUGAAUUAUUACACUGAAAACAAAACAAACUUUGUUACUCCUAUUAUAAUCCUUUCAGAGAAUUUUAGAGCUAGCUUGUGUGCUUUUUAUGUCUCUUCUUUUGUGGUCAUAACUUAACCUUUUUUUUUUUCAUAUGUUCCUUUACUGUUGUCUAAAAGCAAAUACUACAGAUGGCAGAAAUGCUUAGAAUUAUGUUCAAAUGGAAAAAUGGGGUUUGAGGGAUAUCCCAGUCGUUCCAGCACCUCUAGUGGUGCUGGGCACUGGGGUUUGAACCCCACCGGCCAUUCUCCUUCAAAAAUCCACCGGAAGGAGUCCACUUGGAUAGUGAAAAUGCUGUAACAAGGUUUGACUAGAAAUUCUCAAAUCCAUUCCAAACAAUUUUGUUUCUGAUUGACCAAGGCAAGAUGAAUUAGAUUAUGAUUUAUCAACAGGAAAGAGGAGAUUUGGAGUGUAUUUGUAGGCUUUGUUGUUGAUGUUAAGUAGGAAUAAAUUGCAUUGUUUAUCAUCCAGGAUAAAUUUUUUUACCUAUAAAUAUAUAUAUAUAUAUAUAUAUAUUUGAUAGGUAAAUUACCUAUAAAUAUAUUGCACAAACUUACUUAUAUAUAUACACACACAGUUAAAACUUAGAACAGAAGAUAUUAUCACAAUCCCCUCAAAAAAAAAAAAAAAGAAGAUAUUAUCACAACUUGCUUCUAACAACAAAUCUUGGGUUAAAUAUCCUGAACCACUUGAGUAUAUCAUAGCCUAUCCAUGUUGACUCUCGACAGAACUGAAUUUGGGGUCUUAGUAUGCAUAGUCCAUCCAAUUACACUAGAAACCAUAGCUAAGGUUUAUCUUGCUGCUUCAGGGAAAGAAAGCCAAUGACAUGUCAUAUUUAUGACGCUACGACGGGGAAUCAGUGGAUUACCUUCUUCUUCAUUGUAAGUUUUCUCAUGCCUUGUGGUGUGAAGCUUUUGCAGUGUUUGGGAUCCAGUGGGUAAUGCCGAGGUCAGUUAGCUCCUUUUUCUUUAUAUGGAGAAACUGGUUUGGAAAGCAUCUUUCAACCAUUUGGAAUAUGGUCUUGGCAUGUUUAAUGUGAUUAGUUUGGCAGGAACACAAUGCUCACAUUUUUGAAGAUAAGGAGAGAACAUUAGAUCAUCCAAAAUCUCUCAUCUUUGGUGCUCUAUUUCAGUGGGCUCGUAUUUGGGGGUUUACGAAUUAUAUUUCUUUAUCUGAAUUCUUAGUCUCUAUUUCCUUUAGUUCUUGAUUAUAUUGUAUUUGUUUCUUGUUUAUAGUGUUCACCAUUGUGAACAUGAUGUUCAAUUUUUUUCAAUAAAAAUCUUAUUACCUAUUAAAAAAAAUGUCAUAUUUAUGAGAGGACAAUCCAUUAGGACUU